rnacentral:rRNA from 1 species
GGACCCGCACAAGCAGUGGAGCAUGUGGUUUAAUUCGAUGCAACGCGAAGAACCUUACCCAGGCUUGACAUGCAGAGGACGUUAACAGAAAUGUUAAUUCCCUUCGGGGCUUCUGCACAGGUGCUGCAUGGCUGUCGUCAGCUCGUGCCGUGAGGUGUUGGGUUAAGUCCCGCAACGAGCGCAACCCUUGUCAUUAGUUGCCAACACGUAAUGGUGGGAACUCUAAUGAGACUGCCUAGGUUAACUAGGAGGAAGGUGAGGAUGAUGUCAAGUCCGCAUGGCCCUUAUGCCUGGGGCUACACACGUGCUACAAUGGUCGGUACAGAAGGCAGCGAAGCCGUGAGGUGAAGCAAAUCCGUAAAGCCGGCCCCAGUUCAGAUUGUAGUCUGCAACUCGACUACAUGAAGUUGGAAUUGCUAGUAAUGGCGUGUCAGCUACAACGCCGUGAAUACGUUCCCGGGUCUU